GAAAGGAGGGAGAACUGAAGGACAACUGACUAUUCAUUUGGUUCCUAAUAAGAUGAAAAGGAUAAAAUUGGGAAAAAGAGAUUUCAAGAUACCAGUGAUGGAAGUGAAAAGGAGGAAGAAAGGGAUAAGGAAAAUAAAAACAAGCUAGAAGAAAAAAAACAAGUGUCACAGUGGAUUUCUGAUGUUAUCUUUUCCAUAAAUCCUAAUAACCGCUAAUCAGUGGUGAGAAGACAAGAGCGAGAAUCCCCAGGACAUACUGAAACAUGCAGAGGAAUGAUCUCAUUGCCUCCACCCAAAGCUCUUUAAGAAUGAAAAUAACAUGUUUGCAAGGGCAGAACAUAUUCCUUGUAAGUAUCAGGCAUGCAGCAGCUGCACUUUAAGUGAUUGAAGAAAAAGCAGUCAAACAACAGAGCAUGCUAUGCACUUGUUUAAUCCAUCAGGUAAUGUCACACUGAUACUUCUCU
rnacentral:lncRNA from 1 species